UACGUAGGGUGCAAGCGUUAAUCGGAAUUACUGGGCGUAAAGCGUGCGCAGGCGGUUUUGUAAGUCUGACGUGAAAUCCCCGGGCUCAACCUGGGAAUUGCGUUGGAGACUGCAAGGCUGGAGUCUGGCAGAGGGGGGUAGAAUUCCACGUGUAGCAGUGAAAUGCGUAGAGAUGUGGAGGAACACCGAUGGCGAAGGCAGCCCCCUGGGUCAAGAUUGACGCUCAUGCACGAAAGCGUGGGGAGCAAACAGG
rnacentral:rRNA from 1 species